CUGGGCGUCUACGUGCCUCACGUCUCGCGAGUCGUAAUCGUCGAUUUUCUUGAUCACGUCACCCCUCUGGAGCGCCUCGUUCUCCGACUGCAAACACAAAAACCGAUUUCCUUCAAACAUUCGAUUCGCUUCUACUCUCAGAAAUGGAAAAUAGAAAAGACUCGAUACGUACAGUAACGUAUAAUUGUGCAUCUACGAUGAAAAGUAUAUGGUUGGAUCAUGUCCAAACGUGUUUAUGGCUCCCCCCUUCUACGUUCGAAUCGUGCUAGAAAGAAUGAAACUGAGAGGAUCGAGAAGAUACACGAGAUCGAGCCACACGUGACAGGUACUACUGCUUUGCCGUACACAUCCAAUAAUAACUGCACGGGCGGCAACGCGUGCGAAUCUACAUAGUAAUAUAUUACUGUACGUAUCGGACAGCCCUGGCUCGAAGAAAUCGGUGGUUUAGUGCCAGAAGGGUGCAGCUACAUAAUUGAAUGAUCGACUGGAACAACGUCGUAUAUUCAUCAAGGUGGUAAAACCUGGCCAGUUCUGCUAAACUUCUUUUAUUCUCACAAAUGAAUGAAACUGUUGUAACGUCCAUGGCAGAAAUAUUAUGUUGUUAUCGUACUACGUUAAGACAUUAUAAUUAACGUAGAUAACACAUUGGCUAUUAUUCACAAUGUCUCAAGCUUAAACUCAAAUACAGUUAUUUGUUUCCAUCUGCCAAAAGAAAGUGGAAAUACUCAGAGAACAAUAACAUUUUAAGGAGAGCGAAAGGAAACAAAAA